rnacentral:piRNA from 2 species
GAUGACACGCAAAUUCGUGAAGCG